UAAGUCGAGAAAAGUUUGUGGAGUAGG
rnacentral:piRNA from 1 species